AGUGAACGCUGGCGGUAGGCCUAACACAUGCAAGUCGAACGGCAGCACAGUAAGAGCUUGCUCUUACGGGUGGCGAGUGGCGGACGGGUGAGGAAUACAUCGGAAUCUACUUUUUCGUGGGGGAUAACGUAGGGAAACUUACGCUAAUACCGCAUACGACCUACGGGUGAAAGCAGGGGAUCUUCGGACCUUGCGCGAUUGAAUGAGCCGAUGUCGGAUUAGCUAGUUGGCGGGGUAAAGGCCCACCAAGGCGACGAUCCGUAGCUGGUCUGAGAGGAUGAUCAGCCAGACUGGAACUGAGACACAGUCCAGACUCCUACGGGAGGCAGCAGUGGGGAAUAUUCGACGAUGGGCGCAAGCCUGAUCCAGCCAUACCGCGUAGGUGAAGAAGGCCUUCGGGUUGUAAAGCCCUUUUGUUGGGAAAGAAAAGCAGCAGGUUAAUACCCCGCUGUUCUGACGGUACCCAAAGAAUAAGCACCGGCUAACUUCGUG
rnacentral:rRNA from 1 species